UCCUUUAGUAGUGUUUGUACUCUAGGCGCCAGUUAGCAUGUAACAGCAUGUGAAUGAAUGAACUGGCCACACUAGCAUGGUGCAUUUAUACCUGACGAUCUCUUUCAAGACAUUUGAAUAAAAAACGGACAUCAUGGUUAGUAUUUAUAGGGUCUGUACAUGUGGUCCCUAGCCUGGUUUGUCUGAGAAUUAAGUAGAAAUAUCCUUUAGAAGUGUUUGUACUUUAGGCGCUAGUUAGCAUGUAACAGCAUCUGAAUGAAUGAACUGACCACUACUGUAUGGUGCAUUUAUACCUGACGAUCUCUUUCAAGUCAUUUAAAUAAAACAUGGAUAUCAUGGUUAGUAUUUGUAGAGUCUGUAAAUGUGGUCCCUUGCUUGGUUUGUCUGAAAAUUAAGUGGAAAUAUCCUUUAGAAGUGUUUGUACUUUAGGCGCUAGUUAGCAUGUGCCAGGUGUCAUACCAUUGCAGUAAUCAUCUCACUAAACACGUCUUUUCAUAUCCAAUCUGUUCAACAGAGUUUACCAGUCAGACCACUACACCUUUGCCAGCACCACCACCCAGCAAGCUUCAUCAACUCCAGCCAUGCCGAGUUUACCAGUCAGACCUACACCUCCGUCAAAUUCGCUCACAACGCUGCCAAUAACACCCCAGCAAGAUUUUUACAGACUUGUUCUGCAGCACUUCCGAACAAUUGAGGAGGAGCUGGGGUAAAGCAGCAGGUGGCUGUGAACACAUCUAUGCUGCAGAAGCUAGGUGGUGGUGGUGUGGCGGAUCUUGGCCUCGUGGAGGACAACAACAGGCCAUUGAGUAAUGUUGAGGACCUGGACGAGUUGGAGAGGCGGCUUGCAUCCGAUGCGGACCUGAAAAAUCAACUGGUGAACAUACUUGGGAGGGAAAACCACCGAGAUGCUGUUAAGAGGAUGCUGGGGCGGGCUUUGAGGAGGUCCCUGGCGCUCCAAAUUAAUUAG